CGCACUUGCCCGCACGAGUCGCCGCCUUCAUUCGUUCCUACGUCGCUCAAUCCCCUCGCAGCCGCCGCCGAUCCCCUCCCCCAUCUCCCUCCCUCAAACGCCGCCGCCCGUCGCUGCCGCCCCCGCCACCUCCAGCCGCGGCCGCCGCGCCCAGCUCCAGCCGCGGCCGUUGCGCCCACCUCCAGCUCGACUCCACGAUCCCCUUCCUAUCGAUCGCCCACGCCCCCACCGCUUCGCAUCUGAUCGCCACCAGCGCCCGCCGGCCGCCAUGCAGUCCUCCGCGCCGGACCUUUGCGUUGCGUUCCUCCGCGCGAGGCCGCCGCCGCUGCAGCAGCUCUCUCGGAUCCAACACGAAGCUUGCGACGAAGGGCUUGGAGUUGGCCGUGAGUGCUCGAGGUGAAGUGGCGGCAUGCGUUUCUGUAGGGGGGGAGGGGCGCACAUUAGGGAAGUCAGCGGCCGGAUCCGAGCGCGGAUGAGGCGAGGUUGCCACUUGGGGCCCAUGUCGGUCAGAUCCAGGCAACACAUGGGAGUCGGCGUGGCGGCAGCGUAGUGCCGAGGCAGGAAGGAGGCACGGGACGACACAUCGGCGGGUCGUGGUGCACUGCACGAGAUGAGUGACAUGAUGUAAACAACGCUGUACGCAUUGAUGCCACACAUGCGUCAUUUUCUACUGCCGAUACUGAUUCUUGAGGGCUACUGGCACUGCCGCCGGGUAUGAGCAGGAACUGCCUCCAUUGAGAACUCUGGGUACUGCCGCUGCCGACGACCAUCGAGCACCGAGUUGGAACUGCCACCAUCAAGGAUGACAGGCCGCCAUUGAGGUUGAUUGUUUUGGCCGCGCCUUCCCACUACCAGUCUGCACCAUCACUGUUGUAUUCUGAGCAGCCGGAGAACCCCUACGGUUGCAAGAUUCCUGUAACUUGUAUUUGAGAUGCAUGUCCUAAUCGUCUUGGUUGUGGUCAGGUGUGGUAUGUAGGAAUCCGUCAGAAGAAUGUGACACAUAAUAAUAGUUUCAUCAUCUCAUCUUCAUGCUACUUCCAGUUAAGUGCUAGAAAAAUAAAUGCCCGAGACAUGUUUUAAGGAAUUCAAAGACGAGUUCCCUUUGAAGAGCAAGCAAUCAUAGUACGGAGCAAGAUGAUUCGAAAUAGAGGGCUCUGUACUGCAGGACAACAUAUUCACUAUCAAUAUAUGGUCUAUUUCCAAUAUAAGGUGUAUGUCAAGUUAUACACUGACUACAGAAAGUGAGUGUGAGUGGUGAUGCUCGACGACGAACAUCUGCUCGAGGACACCCUGCUCGACGAUGCUCCUCUUCGCUAGCAUCUCCAUUGCAUGAUAGGGGGAGAGUUCUUGUACUCAGAGCAGCUGUUGAUCUGCAGCAACUCUAGAAGUAGGAUUUAGGAUAAUCAUAGUUCCAGUUUGCCAAGCAGGGAGUAUAAUUUAACUGGAAAUCAACCAACUAUUGCUUUGAACUGGAGUAUAAUUACCGAAGCGGGUCGAAGUGGGACGAUGUGGUUCGGUGGUCAACGGCGGCUGCGCAGGAUGCAGUAUGGUAUGGCUUGAGCAUCUCGAGGAGGGGCUCUCUCCGCAAGGCAUCCUCUACGCCACGGCGGAGGUGUUCGGGUAGUCUGUCCCGGGGCUGCGCGUGGAGCACAUCGACGUCUCCGUCUUGCCAUUGCUCAGCACCGCCCUGCCGGCUGGGGUUCUUAUUUGCCACCGAGGCCUUCCGCAACUGGGACCAUGGUGCCUGAUAGCUUCCUCUCCGGCUGGAUCGGCAGUCUAUCCACCCAGUAAAUUUUUUCUCUUCUCUUAAAUUUCUAUGUUUCUUUGUCUGAUUCUCAAUAAAGAGCUCAAACUCGAGAUGAGUUUUUGGUUAUGACCUGGCCUAUUUUGUUGAUCUGCCGCUGGUGGAGGGCAACUCCUCCUUGUCCCCCUCCACCUCGAGAACGAAGGCAUCCCAGUCAUCCUCUUUGCCGGAUCUGUCACCUCUGGCAUCGUCGAUGUCGACAUUGGGACAGAGAGGGGGAGGGGAAUGGACGUGGAGUGGAGGUGAAUCGAUGGAGUGCGGAUUGAAAGUGAAGUGGACUUAGGGUUUGCUUCGGGUGGGGAUUUUAGUGGGGACAAAGUGGGGUCGACGCGGGCUAGCAUGGGCCAGGCUAAUGUGGCGGACGCGGCCUUUCUAUAUCUGCCCCAGAUUUUGGUUAGAUAUGAUGGGUGCGUGACAACCCAUGCCUAUAUGGUUGUUAUGAGUCAUCGGUCUGCGUCGGUUUUUCUGACCGGUUAGUGACUGGGCCUUUCGACCGGGCGUAUAGGGGUGGUUUUUGGUGCUCGGAUGUAGAUGCUCUCUAUUGUGGCGUAGUGAAGGUCGUUGGAUCGACGGGUGAAGAAAAAGACAAACAUUUGGAGGAAGACCAGCGACAAUCGAGCUCGACUAAAACACACAUUUCUUUUUAGUUAAUUGCAAAGGCACUCCCUUCAAAUUUCCAUGCAUUGUGACCAUACGAAUAUAUUUUACUUCUAUUAUCACUAAAUUCAAAAUAAUAUUAAUUUAGGAAAUUACCGAGAUUUGUCUGGCUAUUAUUUCUAUAUGCUCUGGUGGAAUGGUAAAGAAUUACUUCAUCCGGUUUGUAUGAUGGGUAUUCUCUGUUAGACAUUUUAAUCCCUUUGAUGUGAAGUAUUUUUGCUAACUGCAUAUAUUGCUUGUGCAUAAUGGGUACGAGUUCAGGUCCUUCAGGAAGAUGUUUUUAUUAUACUUGCUCGAAUUUCAUGCCAGUGAAGAUAAAAACAAAAUUUCUGAUAUUGUGCGAGAUUUCUUAAGUGCAUAAAAUAGUAGAUCUUAAUUUGUAACAAUUUUUUAGAAGGUCAAAUUUCCUUUUUGCUAUCAAUUAACAUUGCAAGUGAAGUGGAUUUAAAUUGUUACUCGAUUGGGCCCAUGAUAUCUAUUCUCUACACGUGAAAUUUAACAUGCUUUAUAUUUACAUAGCUCCAGCAAAAUAUUUCAAAAGCCCAUGGCAACGCAUGGGCAUUCUACUAUAAUAACAGAGGAUGGUGCUUGCAGUUGUUGUGGGUGCUGAUGGUUCACUGUCUUGGUUUCUUGGAAUGGUGAUUCAAGAAGGGACACCAUCGUGUGGAUGGACCAUAGGGCUCUUGACCAAGUCGAGUGAAUUAAUUCUCACAGUUCACCGGUAUUGCAAUUUUAUGGUGGGAGUGUCUCCCCAGAAUACAGAUAAAUAGUUUUGAAUUAUUUCGUAAGAUCAGUAGACAACAUUUGCUGUGUAUUUUAUAGUUACCGGCGUUGAUUGUAUCGUAUUGAUUUACCUUUUAAAACAUUUAUGGGUAAAUGAAAAUCUACAAAAAUCUUGGUUUAGUUAUAUAGGUGAGUUUCAACUCACAACCUCUCUAAGCCUGUAAUAAGCUAUGAGCUGAAUUUCUAACAAGUUUACUUUCUAACAGCUAAAUUAACUACAGCCCAAAGGCAGCAGCCUGUUACUAUUUUAUAUCAUUUGUUGUUGAUUUGUUUUUUUCAGAAUUGCAUUGGCAAAUCAUGAAAGGUGUAAUGUUCACGGAUUUUUGUUAGAUGAUCUGUUGGUCCGGUUUAAUUUUAGCGGGCAUGAGGCAUCUGGGAAACAUGUUUCAAGGGCCUUGUUUGUCGAUCUGGAGCCCACUGUUAGUAGAUUAUGGCAGUAAAUCAUAAUAGGUCAUGUUGUUGGACGAGGGCGGGCUGGCGGAGGGCGUGUCGGCGGACGACGUGGAGGUCGUGUUCGGCUCCAUCGGUCGCAUCGCCGGCAUCGAGUUCGUGCGCACCAGCGGCCCUAGCUUCGCCUACAUCGGCUUCCACUGCCCCUCCCACAAGGUCAUGACCAAGUUCUCCACCUUGUUGUGGGUGCUGAUGGUUCCCCUGUCUUGGUUUCUUGGAAUGGCGAUUCAAGAAGGGGCAUCAUCGUGUGGAUGGACCAUAGGGCUCUUGACCAAGUCGAGUGAAUUAAUUCUCACAGUUCACCGGUAUUGCAAUUUUAUGGUGGGAGUGUCUCCCUAGAAUACAGAUAAAUAGUUUUGAAUUAUUUCGUAAGAUCGGUAGACAACAUUUGCUGUGUAUUUUACAGUUACCGGCGUUGAUUGUAUCGUAUUGAUUUACCUUUUAAAACAUUUAUGGGUAAAGGAAAAUCUACAAAAAUCUUGGUUUAUGUUAUAUAGGGAAACUGGUGAUGAAACCCGCAGCUUAUCACACAUGAGCACCGGAGGGAGUUAAAAUCGUGUGGUAUGGAACCAUGUGGAAGGGGUGAAGUCUUUUGGGCAGAAAGUUUGGGAGACCUUUAUGAAGAGAGCUACGCAAAAACAGGAGUUAGGCUUGCUUCCCGGGACUCUUGUUGGGACUUCACUUAUGAUGCUUAUGCCGGGUGUCUUGGAGUCAUGGAAAGUGUGCCAAAUGCAGAGUUUAAAGUUGAAACGAUGAUACCUGAGUUUUGGCUCAAGGAAUGUGGCCAAAGUGCAACCGGCGCUUUACUUGAUUACAUUGCUCAAAACCAUAUUGCGGCUCCCUUUUCUUGCUAAUCAAGCUGCUUUUGAAAAUAAUUAUGGUGAUGUUGUCCAUAGGAUUUCUUGUGCUUCAAAUUUUGUUGAUCGAAAGCGGAGUAAGGAGCCCAUCUUUCAUGGAAUCAUCUACAACGAUGCACGACUGGAUCGAAUUGAAGAGCAAAUAUAUUUUGGCGAGGAAGGACAAAUAUUGAUUAGGUUUCAUUUUAAUUAGGCUUCAUCUUUGUUGCAGUCAGUUGAUUUCAGAAAGUAUUACAUUCAGAUUACUUGAAGAUAGACAAAAGCCUGAAUUCUUAUUAGCUGGUGGUUGAGCCAUACAAACGUUGUUCUAAUUUCUACAAGGCAAGUCGAGAUUGACUUUAAAAACUAAGGAUUAUGCAGCCAUAAUCUGACAUUAAAUUAAUUGAAUUAGAGAAUUGGAGGCUGGAAAAGUCGGUUGCACAGGGCAAAAAAGAAACAGAAUUGGCUCAUAGGGGAAAUAUGAUGGGCGAGCAGGUGUGUUGGGCACUCGUCAAUGCGAGGCGUCACUAAUCAACAUACUAACACCCUGCUUUAGACUUGGCGUAUCCAACUAGAUGUGCAUGCUUAGCAACCUCAAAGAGUCUGUUGGAGACACAUUUGUGCAUACCGGCGAUGGCUCAUGCGUCCUUUCACUUAAUUAGAAUUUUCUUCUUAAUGAUACGACUGCUGUUAGUUAUUUUCGGAUUCGAAUUUAAUCUGUGUGGA